AGCAGCCGCGGUAAUUCCAGCUCCAAUAGCGUAUAUUAAAGUUGUUGCAGUUAAAAAGCUCGUAGUUGAAUUUCGGGAUCAGUUGAUCGGUCGUGCCUCGGUACGUACUGGUCAAAUUGAUUCCUACCUUCUGACGAACCACGAUGUCAUUAAUUUGGUGUCGCGGGAAAUCAGGACUGUUACUUUGAAAAAAUUAGAGUGUUUAAAGCAGGCUCGCGCUUGAAUACAUUAGCAUGGAAUAGUGAAAUAGGACGUUUGAUUCUAUUUUGUUGGUUUCUAGGAUCGACGUAAUGAUUAAUAGGGAUAGUUGGGGGCAUUAGUAUUCAAUUGUCAGAGGUGAAAUUCUUGGAUUUAUUGAAGACUAACUACUGCGAAAGCAUUUGCCAAGGAUGUUUUCAUUAAUCAAGAACGAAAGUUAGGGAUCGAAGACGAUCAGAUACCGUCGUAGUCUUAACCAUAAACUAUGACC
rnacentral:misc_RNA from 1 species